GACGAACGCUGGCGGCGUGCUUAACACAUGCAAGUCGAGCGGUAAGGCCCUUUCGGGGGUACACGAGCGGCGAACGGGUGAGUAACACGUGGGUGACCUGCCCUCAGCUCUGGGAUAAGCCCGGGAAACUGGGUCUAAUACCGGAUAUGACUCCAUGACGCAUGUUGUGGGGUGGAAAGCCUUGUGCGGCUGAGGAUGGGCCCGCGGCCUAUCAGCUUGUUGGUGGGGUGAUGGCCACCAAGGCGACGACGGGUAGCCGGCCUGAGAGGGCGACCGGCCACACUGGGACUGAGACGCGGCCCAGACUCCUACGGGAGGCAGCAGUGGGGAAUCUUGCGCAAUGGGCGAAAGCCUGACGCAGCGACGCCGCGUGAGGGAUGACGGCCU
rnacentral:rRNA from 1 species